UAUUGGUCAAUAGCCUAACGGCUGAACCAGCAACUUGGAGGAAUGUAUAGGGAAAACUGGUCAAAUGUGAUGUACCUACUAAUAUUAGUAAUUAAUAUGAGAUUAACUAAGUUAAUUAAAAUUCAAAGUAGAUGUGUGAUUAUGACAAUAUUUACUUAGGUCUUGACCAAGUCACGUGCCAGCAGUCGCGGUAAUACGUGGAAGACAAGUGUUAUUCAUCUUUAACAGGUUUAAAGGGUACCUAGACGGUUAAUUAAGCAAUUAGAUGUACUAAUUAACUAGAGUUUAAUGUGAGAAGGAUAGAGUACGGCGAGUGGAGAGAUAAAAUUCUUUGAUACCGCUUAGGAACUGGUAACGGCGAAGGCAACCUUUAAUGUAAAAACUGACGUUGAAGGACGAAGG
rnacentral:rRNA from 1 species